ensembl:lncRNA LINC01002 long intergenic non-protein coding RNA 1002
AGAUGGGGUCUUCUUUUGUUGCCCAGGCUGGCCACAAAUUCCUGGGCUCAAGUGAUCCUCCCACCUCGUCCUUGUAGAGAUGAGAUUUAGUUAUGUCGUCCAGGCUGAUCUCAAACUCCUGGGCUAAAUCGAUUGUCUCACCUCAGCCUCUCAAGUAUGUUAUGAAGGUUAUAUGUUAGGAAGGGUCCCAGGAGGUAAACCCACACAGAUGGGAUUUGGGCAUAGGUUUGGUUUCCCAGGGGGCAGUGCUGAGCUCUUUGCCAGUGGGAAAUGGGAUGCUGGUGAUUUCCAGUAGGUGACCUCACAGUGACUCAAGCUACCACUUACUGUUGAUUGUGACGAAAUGCCAGCUGAGGCACAUGCCUUGGGAGCUAAGUGGUUGCUGCCCUUGACCACUGUGAAGACUGGUGUGGGAAGGGUCGUUUUGGAUGCACUUGAGCAGGGGUCCCCAACCCCUGAGCCAUGGAGCCGCAAGGAGCCACACAGCAGGAGGUGGGAACAUCCAGUUGCAGGAAAACAAGCUUAACACGCCCACUGAUUCUACAUUAUGGGUCUCCCUCUGUUGUCCAAGGCUGGAGUGUAGUAGUGCUAUCGCAGCUG